AAUUGAACUGUAUUAAAGCUGUAUUUGAAUAUAUUCAGUGCAUAUUUGAAUAAAUAUCAAAUUAUCAAAUUGAUGAUUAUUGACAAACAGUUAAAUUUGACAGGAAGUUAUGUGCAUGUAUUUUGGGUAAUUGCUGUGAUUAAACGAUACUCACCGCCAUGUCGUAUGAUGCCCACUUCCUGGAGUAUCGAUGCCGCCAAAUCGGCCUUUUGUCUGCUGCUCUCGAACCGCUCCGAGUUGAUGGGCACCUGGAGCGGUCGAUAAAGCGUGGAGAUGCACAGUGUACCCAGAUUUUCGGUGGCGAUGUCGUGUAUUGUCACCAGCGAUUGCUCAAUGGCCGUCUGCGUGGAAAUCGAGGGAGACAAAAAAAAGAAAAGAAAGCGUAAACUCUAUUCAUUACGGAUAUUGUAUCUUAAAACAAGUCGCUUAACUUGGAACAUUUGCUGUGCUUAAAAUAUUAGCGAAUUUAUGGAAUAAGAGGUUUGGCUGCUCCUCCUGAAUUCUCCUAGACUUUAAGUUUCAUUCUUCUUAAAUUAAUACUUUAAUCGAGGCAGCAAUUGAAAAAAAUGAGCCAAGAGUGAAAAAGCGGAUUUUAAUUGGUUCGAAUCAUGAAACGAAAUAUCAAAA